rnacentral:rRNA from 1 species
AGCGAACGCUGGCGGCAGGCUUAACACAUGCAAGUCGAACGGGCACUUCGGUGCUAGUGGCAGACGGGUGAGUAACACGUGGGAACGUACUUUUCGGUUCGGAAUAAUUCAGGGAAACUUGGACUAAUACCGGAUACGCCCUUCGGGGGAAAGAUUUAUCGCCGAUAGAUCGGCCCGCGUCUGAUUAGCUAGUUGGUGAGGUAAUGGCUCACCAAGGCGACGAUCAGUAGCUGGUCUGAGAGGAUGAUCAGCCACAUUGGGACUGAGACACGGCCCAACCUCCUACGGGAGGCAGCAGUGGGGAAUAUUGGACAAUGGGCGCAAGCCUGAUCCAGCCAUGCCGCGUGAGUGAUGAAGGCCUUAGGGUUGUAAAGCUCUUUUGUCCGGGAAGAUAAUGACUGUACCGGAAGAAUAAGCCCCGGCUAACUUCGUGCCAGCCGCCGCAGUAA